rnacentral:tRNA from 1 species
UCCCCGUUAGCCAAGCGGUAAGGCCGCCGGCUUUGAACCGGUGAUUCCCUGGUUCGAAUCCAGGACGGGGAGCUA